GAGCAACCUGCCCCUGACUCUGGGAUAAGCGCUGGAAACGGCGUCUAAUACUGGAUACGAGUAGCGACCGCAUGGUCAGCUACUGGAAAGAAUUUUGGUUGGGGAUGGGCUCGCGGCCUAUCAGCUUGUUGGUGAGGUAAUGGCUCACCAAGGCGUCGACGGGUAGCCGGCCUGAGAGGGUGACCGGCCACACUGGGACUGAGACACGGCCCAGACUCCUACGGGAGGCAGCAGUGGGGAAUAUUGCACAAUGGGCGCAAGCCUGAUGCAGCAACGCCGCGUGAGGGAUGACGGCCUUCGGGUUGUAAACCUCUUUUAGCAGGGAAGAAGCGAAAGUGACGGUACCUGCAGAAAAAGCGCCGGCUAACUACGUGCCAGCAGCCGCGGUAAUACGUAGGGCGCAAGCGUUAUCCGGAAUUAUUGGGCGUAAAGAGCUCGUAGGCGGUUUGUCGCGUCUGCUGUGAAAUCCGGAGGCUCAACCUCCGGCCUGCAGUGGGUACGGGCAGACUAGAGUGCGGUAGGGGGAGAUUGGAAUUCCUGGUGUAGCGGUGGAAUGCGCAGAUAUCAGGAGGAACACCGAUGGCGAAGGCAGAUCUCUGGGCCGUAACUGACGCUGAGGAGCGAAAGGGUGGGGAGCAACAGGCUUAGAUACCCUGGUAGUCCACCCCGUAAACGUUGGGAACUAGUUGUGGGUCCAUUCCACGGAUUCCGUGACGCAGCUAACGCAUUAAGUUCCCCGCCUGGGGAGUACGGCCGCAAGGCUAAAACUCAAAGGAAUUGACGGGGACCCGCACAAGCGGCGGAGCAUGCGGAUUAAUUCGAUGCAACGCGAAGAACCUUACCAAGGCUUGACAUAUACGAGAACGGGCCAGAAAUGGUCAACUCUUUGGACACUCGUAAACAGGUGUGCAUGGUUGUCGUCAGCUCGUGUCGUGAGAUGUUGGGUUAGUCCCGCACGAGCGCAACCCUCGUUCUAUGUUGCCAGCACGUAAUGGUGGGAACUCCAUGGGG
rnacentral:rRNA from 1 species